CUGCUGCCUCCCGUAGGAGUUUGGGCCGUGUCUCAGUCCCAAUGUGGCCGUUCACCCUCUCAGGCCGGCUACUGAUCGUCGCCUUGGUGGGCCGUUACCCCGCCAACCAGCUAAUCAGACGCGGGUCCAUCUUGCACCACCGGAGUUUUUCACACUGAGCCAUGCGGCUCUGUGCGCUUAUGCGGUAUUAGCACCUAUUUCUAAGUGUUAUCCCCCGGUGCAAGGCAGGUUCCCCACGCGUUACUCACCCGUCCGCCAA
rnacentral:rRNA from 1 species